AGAAACUUAGGUUUAACUUAAACCAAGAGCCUUCAAAGCUCAAAAUAUGGCCUAGACCACCAUAGUUUCUG
rnacentral:tRNA from 1 species